rnacentral:tRNA from 1 species
GAGGGUAUAGCUCAGUGGUAGAGUGUAUGCUUGGCAUGCAUGAGGUCAUGAGUUCACUCUUCAGUACAUCUG